rnacentral:rRNA from 1 species
UACGUAGGGUGCGAGCGUUGUCCGGAAUUACUGGGCGUAAAGAGCUCGUAGGUGGUUUGUCGCGUUGUUCGUGAAAACUCACAGCUCAACUGUGGGCGUGCGGGCGAUACGGGCAGACUGGAGUACUGCAGGGGAGACUGGAAUUCCUGGUGUAGCGGUGGAAUGCGCAGAUAUCUGGAGGAAUACCGGUGGCGAAGGCGGCAUCCUGGACCAUUACUGACGCUGAGGCGCGAAAGCUAGGGGAGCAAACGGGG